rnacentral:miRNA from 1 species
UGAAACUUGCAAGAACGGGC